ensembl:snoRNA SNORD104 small nucleolar RNA, C/D box 104
GCUGUGAUGAACAUCCAUGAAAGCGUGUUAGACUACUGAGUACCAUGAAGUGAAUCAGAAUCUGAGC